UAGCUUAGUUGGUAGUGCGUCUGCCUUGUAAGCGCUAGGCCGCGGGUUCGAUUCCCGC
rfam:Asian citrus Psyllid, Diaphorina citri - Florida Strain, whole genome shotgun sequence.